GUUUAAUUGGCGAAUUUCAUACUAAAAUGCAUCAGGCUGGACUUAGACCUGCGAGACAAAUCUGUAAAACGAAGGACGGUCACAGAACACGGGAGACAAAAGCGAGACACGACUGCGGCGCAACGGAUCGUCACAGUUGGCGUCUAUGCUGAUGACAGCCUGCGGUACGCUAUCAGUACGACGAAGCAUCACGACGAAGAAGGAACAACAACAUUUUCAACAUGGAUCGGUCUUCCGAUGCGUUUCUGCGCAGCCGCGACGGACAAAGCUGACUGCAAUCUGCCAUGAGCUCUUCUGAGAGAAGGAUCGAAGCUCAACACGAUAUUUCGGUAUGGGGACCGUAAAUAUCAAUCGAUAGUUGCGUCUUAUACUCCAGGAGGCGCAAUGCAUGUUCCAGACUUAUAUAUAAUUCAAACAUGAUGCCUCUUGCUGGUACUAAAUGCUUACUCACCAAAGGAGCUUAAUUUGCGAUUAUUCAGGAGUUUUUUUUCUAGAUGUUAAAGGACUGUUUAGUGUUAUAAUUUUAUUACGAUAGAAACUGAAUAAAGCAGAUCCGCCCUAAAAACUGUAGGAAAUCUAGUGAAGGGUAGAAAGCUAACCUCAAAAAAUGCUACGCUAGACGAGUGCGUAGCCAGUGCUACUUAUAUAUCAGCUUUGUGCACUGUUUUCAUUAAUCAUUUUGUCCAGAUCACAAGAUUUUGCCUUGUAUUCGGUACCUUUAAAAAAUAUGCCAGGUGAGACAGAACGCUUAUUCGAUAUGUGUUUCUUACAUUUUCCCCAAAUAAAAUUUCUUAGAUUCUGUUGUCAAUUGAACAUGUGGGUUUGGCCCCAAACUAUCUCCUCCUAACCACCAAACUACAAAAUUGUCCUGACCCAAUUAACACGCUGCACGUUAAAGUCUUCGUUAAAAUACGUAUUUUCCUCUAACCUCUUAGAAAAAAUGUAAUAGUUCGUACAAAUUUCGCUCAGAAAAUAAGACCGAAACCGGGUAGCCAUGGGUCACUUAACAGCGUCAAUUCACUACCGCCUCCAUCAAACUAGGUCCGGUGAUAGCUGCUCUACUCGUAUUGUCACACUUGUAUUGACACGUUAAUCUGAUUAAGUAAAAUAUAAAAUACUAGAUAUUUUGAGGUGAUGCAAUUUUUAUUUGUCUGCACAGCCCAGAGGAACAGAUCCGAGCUUUCUCACUCAUGACGCCUCUGCGUCACGCACUAGGUAGUAGAAUCCACAAGCUGAACAUUUGUUUUUAUGCGAAUAUUAUUUCUAUGAAGAGACCUACAUUCACUGUUGGUAAUUAAUGAGCUUGUUUUCAGCCUGUGCUUAACAAGCUUCAGGUUCGCCAAGCUAAAUAACUCAAAUAUCAAAGCUCAUGACACUACCGUUUUUAGUGGCCUUUUACUUAAACAAGACAACAUGGAUGAACAGAGAAGCAUUAUACUAAAAAGUCUAAACGAAAAAUUCAUGUUUAAAUGAUACUGACGGACAAAAAAAUUACAGGUUAAGGCACAUCAUUUGUAAUUACCAAAAUCAAACAAAAUAAUACUUCAAGCAUUGCCGAACAUACGACAAAUACUGGGUUUCGGGGACAUAUUUUGUAGCACAAAGACGAACAGGUCUGCUGAAAUUCUUUCCAAGGCUAGUCGAUAAUCUACCCUUUCUAGAUUUUAUGAAUCCGCUCGAGUUUGUAGCACUAAGUUUAUGAUUAAUGGGCAGAGUAAGUUAAGAUUGGGCAGAAGUCGAUAUUAAGGUACUUCUUCGAGAAGGGAUAUUUUAAUAGAAAGUUGAAGCAACAGCUUAGGCCAUUCCAGCGACGCAGUUGAUGAGUAGGCCUUGAAGGCCUCAAUCGUUACUGUGAUUUAUAUUCAAUUUGAUACAAUUCGAUUCAUCUCUAAAUCAAUGACAUGCAAUGCGACCCUGAACAUAUCAGAUUAUUGGAUUAAAUCAUUUAUCACUUGUUCUUUUGCCCCAGUGGUCGUCUGCUCGUUCGUAGCAUUGUGUGAAAAGCAAAAGUUGUGUCUAAUGUUUGGGUUUUGAAAUUAACGUACUAGAAGUUACUAGAACGUACUUCUCAGAAUUGACGAUCUGGGCAUUCUAUAAAAUACUCCGUAUCUGAAUUUCAAACGUAAUUUACAAUUCAAAACUGUAAUAAUAUAAGAAAAAGCGCACGAAUAAGAAGCCGAGAGUAAAAAAACUGACUUUUAAAAUGACUGAAAAACAUAAACUAAAGGUAAAUAAAAUAUAUGCGUAAAAUAUAUAUAUAAAAGAGAAACAGAGACUGAAUUCGUUAUAUUCUAGUUGUCUUUUUAAAUGUCCUUCUCGAUCUUCUAUUAUUUAAAAUCCAGAAAUUUACACACCUGAAACAACACAUUAGAAAAAAUUCAUGUAUACAUGAAACAGGAAUGUUAUCUUGAUUCGUUUUUGUACAGCACACAGGAUAUUCUUCGUGGAAUGAGGUAGUUUAGAAUGUUUUUUUGGCUAUAAAUGCUCGCAAAAUAUUUUCAUAAACUCUAGUGGUCGGCUUUAUCGUAUCAAACAGGCCGGCAAAAGGGUUAGGAGAUGCACUCAACCAUCUGUUUCUCACUGGCGUCGUAUCUAACAUAAGUUGAUGGGAUUAUUAACUUAUUCAAUCAUCAGCUGAAAUCAACGCUUAAUGGCAAUAUGCCUCGCACGUGCAUUCCUAAAAUUCUCAUCCCUCUUAGUGCUUUUUUUUGCUUAACCCAUUUUAAAACCUUGUUUAGGAUUUUUUGCAAUAGAGAGGAGUCAUUGUGUUUUUCGGCUAUUUCGGCUAUUGCAGCUAUAUUUUUACGUCAUCUCUUUGGAUUUUGACGAGCACAAAUAGGGGGAUAAACGUCAGAACCUCAGAAUUGUAUUUCGCGGACAACCCAACGAAAUUUAGAUGGUUCGCAAAUUACUCUGAAUGCUGAACUUUUCCUUUUGAUUCUUACAUUAAAUGUUCUUAAUUUCCUUUAACAAUCGAUCGCCGAAAUCUAAAGGGAGUAACAUGUGGAGUAGCUUGACUCGUUUAAACAGCUUAGCUAUACCGUGCUGCAACACCAAAACAUUGCGUCCCUUUUCCUACACAAAUAAAGCGUUGGAUAUAAGUCCUUGCAGAUUACCGUUUUUAUAGAUGGCGGCAUAAAUGAUGUUUCCUAGCGGCUUGUAUAGUACAAUAACUAAUCGUAUUCGCCUCUUGUUGGCUGGCUUAACUUUUCGGAGUGGGGUUCCAUCACGAGUCGCGUUUUUUUUUUUUCUAGUUUAAAUGUAAUUUUUUUAUUUUAUAAGAUGUUUUUUUUUUGUUAUCUACUCACACGUGCCAGGUUGUUUAUGUUGUAGGGGAUUGAACCAAUGACACCGUACUGCCUCAGCCAGAGGCUUAGUGAUCCUAUUCAUUAAGCCAAUAUGUUUCUUUUUGUGCAGACCGUAGAAUGCGGGUUUAAAGUGGAAGCUCGUUACUUUGGAAAAAUAAUGCCGUCUUCGUGAUCUCUGAGUGGAUAACGUAUUUACCUGCUAAUAUUAAGGACACGUUGUGGUAUAGGUUCGAGCCGGUCAUGGACAUACUUCCUUUCGUGCUAGAGGCCAUCCAUCCUAUGGAAUGCUUAACAGCAGCGAUACCGGAUGUAAAACCCGAAACCUAGAGGAAAAACAUGGAAUCGGAUGACUCAUAAGCUGAGAAACGGUUUCAGACUGAAACAAAGCUUUUCGCCAAGCAGACUAUUAGUUGGAAAGGAAGAUAUCUAUUGAACGCUGAAGCUCCAGUCGGUAGUGAUCAAAUAUUGACAGAAAAAAAUCCAAAAAAGCAUACAAACUUGUUGUAUUUUUGAUAUAGUUUAUUAAUGUUGAAUUCAAUAGUCACAUACGCGUUUUUUUCAAGUGUUUGUUGUUGAUAUCACAAUGCGCGUAUCGCAUAUGCUAUAAAUGAAUGAAAUUGGAUAGAAUAAGGUACAUCUAGCCGACGACAGAAGUCCCGAAUCUAUUAGCUGACCCGAGUCCCCCUCGAGAAUACCUACCCUGAUUAUAGUUACCACCUUGAGCUCCGAAGCACUUACCGACGGCCUCACAAGCAUUGUUUUUGCAGUGUAAAGCACCGAAGAUUUGUUUAUCCGAGAACACAUUAGCGUUUUCUCCGCCAAGCCCAUUAGCUGCGUAACCCUGGGUAAGGCCGACAGCCGCACUGAAACCAAGCUCCGCUUGGCCUCAGUGACUGAUUCCGUAACUACGGUUCAGACACCGACCGCUUUCGUAUGGACAGCCGAGGCAACAGUCUUUACAUAAUGAUUAUGAGCUUGUUAGGCUGUGAGAUAACGGUAGCCUAACAACAUGGAGCAUGUAAAUAGUUAUUAUUGCGAGCUGUAGUAAAUGUUAAUAGGGGCAAUGUAAAAUAAACGUAUUGAUUUAGACGAUCCGACUAAAUAAGGCUGCAUGAAAACUCUUCAUGUUUGUUUAAUUGUGCGGUUUGGAUCCGUAUGAUGUCUGCUGACUAUCCAGAGAUUAUCCUCCGGGGCAUUAUCCAAUGCUAAGAUGGCGGUUCAUUCGUCUGGAUAUUACAAGGAGAGCGCAACAAAUAACACAGACCCGGAAAAAGGGCAUCUUUCGGUCAGAACGCGCUAUGAGUAACGAAAAGUUCGAUACCAACCGCUGCUAUCGCGUUAUGACGCGACGUGCCAUGUAGCCGAGCGACAUGGUCGUAUAUCAUCAUCAUUUUUAUCAGUGUGACAUGGCCAGACAUUACGAACAGGAUAAAUAAUACGAAUAAUAGAUAAAUGUUUCAAAAUUACCAUGCUAAUCACUAUCGCAGCUACAUAAAAUUACAAACUUGGCCAGUUAGUUUAUUCAUAUUGCUACGCUGACUGUUUUUAAUCGUUUAUGCUUACAAUCUAAGAAGCAAUCAGAUUUUUUUUAACUACUAAAUAUAUCUGUUUUGCUUACGUUUACAAAUGCCUUGAUAAUGAUAACGAUGAUAUCCUACGGUCAACACUUCGGUCAUAUUUCGUCGUUUCUUCCCAUAGAACUAAAAAAAAAUUGAACUUUUUUCAAAAAUAUAUUGUCUUCAUUAUAUUGUAAAGUGUUAGUGAAGUUUAAUAUGCGUCAAAAAAAUUAGAUACUUCAUGUAAAUAGUGUUAGUUGGACCUGCAAAUAAUUUAUUUUAGCGUCUUAAAUGAAAAAGAAAGAAUAUGGUAGUAAAAUUCAAUUACAUUUAUGUUUUCCACAGUUACAGAAAAUCACUUGGAAUAUAGUUGCAUUCGUUAUCCAUAAUAUAUUCGGAAGGAUCUAUAUCGGGCUGAAAUUUGGACCAACAACCGCCAGUUGACGAUAGUUUCGCUCAACGAUCCAACCCAUAUAACAUCUAUUUGGUUUGGCGUCAAAUUCAAAACUUCAUAUGGCUUCCGCCGUACCACAGCUUAAUCACAAUACCAGUUUUAGAUGUACAUUAAUUUCCCAAAGAAAACAAAGUAUGAUCACUAAAUUAUUUCAAUCGCUUCCCAUCACUGCCAUACCCGUUUUAAAAGCUCACAUAUUCUACCAUCCUCCUCGUAAAUAAGCAUUUAUUUAAUCUAUAAAUGUUUUGUUUCUUCUCAAAAGCUGAUCUUGCAAUUUCUGUUAAGGAAGUUAACACCUAUUAUUGCCAAGUUCACAUUGUUAUAGUAUACUUCAGAUUUGAGGUUCACAUACCUGGGCAUAUAUUCCAUUGAAACAUUUGUAAGACAUGAGCGUGUAAAGUGUCUUGGCAGCCAACCUAAACUUUUUGUGUAGGUUACUCGUUUCAGCAGAUCCGAUGGGAACAGUUUUUGCAAUGUAAAGUUUCCGAAGCAAACGUCGUUAAUCAUCUUUCCUAACUGCUUUCACACACUCCAAAUGUGAGAUAGUUCCCCGCUAGAGCGUCCAAACGGCCUUAAGUUUGAAACGCCAAUAGUAAGGUCAUAUAUUCUCUAGGCAACACUUUUUAGGUGCAGAUUGGAGGCGCUUUUGCCUGAAGAUUUUAUAUGCAUGCUGCUUCUGGCAAGCAGUGCAGAAGGCCUUAUCCCAAAAAUUGAAUGUACGCUACUCUAUCUCGAAAGAGAUCCAAACAAACGAUGCUUCGUGAAAAAGAUGUAUUUGAACGACUAUUACAGUAUUUAACUUUAUAGGAUACACGUCAUAGAUAACUUUUCGUUAAGAAAAAUAGUCCAUAGGAAACUUGUCAAGCUGAAACAUCUAAUCAAACAUACAAAUGGCACUAUCGAUAUUAUCGCUGUGGCGUUAUAGAAGGAAAAGAAAAACUGACCCGUCUUCUCUCUUCCCUAGGAAGAGCAGCUAUCUGCAAAAGAGAUUACCUGGAUUGGCCUUGAUGAGAACUAUAUGAAAUAGAGAAAAUAGAAUACGCAAACUUUUAUGAAAGCAGAUACAAAGAACACUACUAUAGAGUUGACAUCUAGGUAUAUUCUUUUUUUUGGCGUCAUCGUGGGUGAAGCCAAACGUCCAACGCAUGCCCAAACAUUACUCGCUCGCACUAGAAAGAAGUAGAUUUCGUUAUUAUGAAUUCUUCCUGGGGUCCCUAUUUAUGCCUGCUUUGCUUAUUAGGAUCGAAAAUUUUUUCGCUUCUCGCGCCACAUCACAUACGUAUGAAAAUAUACAACAUAUGAUGACACAUAUGUUGCAUAUUUUCAUAGAAGACCUAAUGAUAACUCUGGAUUAAUGCAGACCUAUUUCUUUUUUGUCCGUUCGGAGUCUAACAAGGCGAUGUAUACCUGACGUUGACCUCUUCAAGAACGUUAUGUCACAAAUGUGACCUCUGCUUAUAUGAGACGCACACCUUUUCAAGCAACGUGCUCAUCUGUGGCCGAGCUGCCUGGUCGGCGGCUACGAUGCGCCAUACAGAGGAUCUAAGUGAGCUGGUCAUUAAAGGAAACAGUUGGUUGCAACAAUGCUGAUAGCAAUUCUGCGGGUGGACAAGCUCGCGAAGCAGGCGAAUCGUCGCAGGCCAUGGAAAAUCAAACGACUCGAGCGGUUUACGGAGGUGAAUUUACCUGGGAAUCAUAGGAGAUCUUGCCGGGUAAACUUUAUAAUCCGUGAGGAUUUUACUGCCCUGAAACACCUUGAGCCGCUGGUUAAAGAAAAUUUGGAAACGAGAUUUUGGACCCAAAUGUGACCCUUGUAUCGAUAGCUGUGGAAACAAUCGACCCCAAAGGCACAGGUGCUGGCACUCAAAUGUGGUGUAUGUAAAAAUACAUCACACUUACUCAGAGCGAUCAAAUUCACUAGAUAAAAAAUUCGAUAAGUGGGUGCCGCAAGAAUAAACGUAAAAACACUUCUUGUGUUCUUCCUACUCAUUUACGUUACGACAGUGACCUAAUUUGCGCUCAGUUGUAACUUCUAACGAGAAGUGGGUCUUCUAGAAUCAUCGCAGACGUCCCCAUCGGUGAGUGCAUGCAGAGGAACCGGUGGACGGCACCAAAAAGCAAAUGGGCAGCAGCAAAAGCCGUAAUGCAAAUGCUAUGCAUGUUGGUAAUGAAAAACUCUGCACUAAGUGUCCAGGACUAAACCGACCUCAUUCCACGACAACACUCGACGUUGCACCUUUUUAGAAUAACCGUGGCAGUGAUGCAGGGAUUACGGUUGGAGGCCCUCUAUCCUCCACCAUACUCUUCGGAUAUUGGUUGCAAUAGAUUUUCAAAACUCCGGGGACUAUGUAUGAGUAGGGUCCUAGUUUUCGUGUACUAGGAAAACUAGAAGAAGAUCUGAAUACGAGUUCAUUCGUAGAAUGUUCGAUGGUUAUAUUUGUGAUGUGCUGGCACUUUUAACUAUACUCACUAAUCCAAUAAAGUCAAUAAUAUUAUCACUGAUGUUUGUUAUAUCCUGCAUGAAGAUAUCGGCUUGACUUGUUUAUGAAUUUAGCUCAAAUGUGCGGUUAACUCGUGUCAGGACUAUGUACUCGUGUAUGACUACAGCUGUUCUGAGUAUCCUGUGAAAGAACUCGGCUGAAUAUAGCAAUACUUGUGUGAGAGUCGUAUAUAAAAAUGGCUGUCAAUAUGAAGAACAUUCAAGUAAGCAUUACUUGUCCGGAGCUAUUUAGUGAGCCGUACAUUUUCAAUGGCAUUUACAUUAGCAGAUGCGGUCGGGCAAAAUUUUGCACUAACUUUUUGGCUACUGACGGCUAUGGGCUGAUUGACUGUCAUCAGAGUGUAACGUCUACCGAGGCAAGGAUAGCCUUUAGUGCUGAAAAUAAAUUUCCAUUUUAUAAAUGUGAGAAUAAUAAUGUGAGCCUUCAGUGAAGCAGGAACAACAACAGAAACUGGAAUGUCGUAGGCUACAGGAGGUGACUGCAUAUCAGGACCUAAAACGGAAAAAUUAGUUGCUAUGAUAUAUUAAGCAAAAUCUUAUCAAAUCUUUUUAAAUUUGCGCAUUAGCCGAUGCUUAUAUUGGCAAUGUAUAUAAUGGCCAGUUGCUAUUAUCAGGUAUUUUCCGAAAAAGAACGAGUCUAUGCGGCGAGACAUUUAGAAUCCCUCACGGAACAGCCUCACGGAAGUGUGGCGCGGCAUUCGACAGCGAAGGGUAGUCAGAAGUAGUCAGUGCUGAUGAAGUUACGCAGAAGAGUAAGUUCACACUGUUAGGCGAGAUAGGCUCCGAACUAAAGAGAAAAUUGUAAUCGGCGUGCUAAUAGUUAUUUAUAUGCAAAAAGACUAGUAACUAAUACUCAGCAUCAUUAAUGGUGCUUAUUGAAUUACAAUGGCAGAAUUGUAGCACUAACUACUCGGACAUGUAAACGCAGAAAUAUUAAAGCCAACAGAAGGGAGAAUUUGUAAAAAUAAAAUCCACUUAUCGUUUAUUGAAAGAGAAAAACAUCAUUGUAACACGGCUUGAUUAAAUGAGACAUGACAAACGCCCGUAACAGGAUAAAAUACACUUCGUGAGUAACGAUUGAGUAAAGGAAAUUGGAUGAAUUGAAGCUAGAUAAGGCUGCUAAUACUUAGUUUCACUCUGAUUCAGCUAUCCAUCUACUCAUCGAAUUGAUCUUUUCUCUUAAAUAGAAGAUAUGAUUAUUGUUGCUUCUUGUUCUGUAUGCUUAAAACGGACUUCAUCGGAUCGCACAGUUCUCAUACGUCACAAAAUUGCAAGUGACGAUGCGGAUCAUCUUCUAAUAAACGCGUCUUGGUUGAUACGUUCUCAAACGAUCGAUCCGAAUCGGAAAAGAUGUAGCUAAGAUAUGAAGUGCAAGCGCAGCUCUAUGUGUGCAUUAUAUAUUGUUCUAUAAACGUUUAAGGCAUCAACAUUUUGUUUUUAUUGUGUU